CAGAGUGUAGGCAACGCUCUCUGUUCAUGUCAUCGCUUUCCUAAUGAGUUUCGGUGCGUCCUUUGAUUCUGAGAUUGAUUAUCGUUAUUUUCUGAUCCGUGUUCCGAAAGUUAAAAUUAAGAUGCAAAUGGUUCGAUGAAGCUAUGGCCGUGAUUAUCAUGAUUUACAUCUCGACCUUUCUCCAGACACCUGUCGUGAUUUCCUGCACGUACAAUUGUUUUUAGUUUUUUGUCUUCUGAUCAUACAAGAGCAAUGUUACGUGACAUUGGAAUUGCACCAUUGUAUUGGUGACAUAGCUGGAUUAAUAAGGAAUAUCCUCAGCUAAAUUCAUCAAUAAUCACUGUUGGAAAGCUAGAUUGUCAUUGAUCAUCUAGGAAAUGCUUUUGUCCUGACAUUCUACAUUCACCAGGAAACAUAAGAGUUUAACGCGAUGCUGAGUUGAGGAACGUAUUCUUAUUUGGCCAAGUGAAUUGCUUUUUCUUUGUUUAUUUUUUGUAGCACUUAACUGGAAUAAAAGGAUUAUCUGAGGCAAAAGUUGAAAAGAUAUGAGAUGGUGGCUCCAAUCAAUUUGAACUUCUAUAAGCAUCUCGCAUUGACUUCCCUUUGUUUUAUCAGAAUUUUGGCUAUAUUAUUGGAAGUGAUGCUCUGCUCCGAAGAGAGUCGUCGGUUGUUUGCAUCACAACUGGAAGCCCCCUCGAUGAGCUUUUAGGUGGUGGUAUUGAAAGUCCGGCAAUUACAGAAGCAUUUGGCGAAUCUGGGUGAAAAUCACAGUCCAACAACGUUACCUUUGAUGAACUUUUAGUUGCUUUUGUUAAUUAGCUUUCUCAGAAAAUGCUGCUGACGUCACUUCAAGUCUGGGAAAACACAGCUGGCAUGUACCCUAUGUGUUACUUCUCAGGUUGGACUGAAUUAGAUGUUAGGUUUCUGUCUUGAACUUCUGUUGCAUUUUUUUUCUCAGAUGAACAAUACCAAAUAGUAACAUAAUGAUUGAAUUUCUAUGGAGUAUAGAGAUGUGGGUGAUCUUGGCAUCAUAAUGUGUGUGUUAGGUGAUUCUAGAAGUAUGGCACUCAUUUUCUGUAAUCUGCAGUCAGUAUACUGGAACGCAUAUAUAGUGGCUCAAACCAAGCAGGGAAAAGGCCAGAAGAGUUUGUACUAUGUCAUAACCGAGUAAAAGCCUUAAUCAUAGUCGGACUUGGACUUGGGUUGAUCAUUAGUUGAAUGUGAUGCUUGAAGAUACU